UGCCAGCAGCCGCGGUAAUACGAAGGGCCCGAGCGUUGCGCGGAAUCACUGGGCUUAAAGCGUGCGUAGGCGGGCGUGCAGGCGUCUUGUGAAAUCCCUCGGCUCAACCGGGGAAUUGCUCGACGAACCGCACGUCUCGAGGCAGGUAGGGGCUGUCGGAACGAUAGGUGGAGUGGUGAAAUGCGUUGAUAUCUAUCGGAACACCGAAGGAGAAAUCAGGCAGCUGGGCCUGACCUGACGCUGAGGCACGAAAGCGUGGGGAGCGAACGGGAUUAGAUA
rnacentral:rRNA from 1 species